GGUACAAACUACUUCAACAGAGGCUGUGACUACAAGGAUGACAACAACAAACCAAGAAGAAGCAACAACUCAUCUCCUCACAAUCCCAUUGUGUGCCAAAUCUGUGGAAAAAGAGGACAUUGUGCAUACAACUGUUAUCAGAGAAAUUCUCAGCCCCAUAAUAUUGCUUUGAGCUCAUAUGUGAAAUGUCAAAUCUGCAGGACUUCUGGACACAUUGCCAAACUUUGCAGAUACAAGCAGCAGUCACAAACCUCCUCUCAACCCAAGUCCGCUUCCAUUGCUGCUCAACCAAGUUCCUGUUCUUCCAUGCCACUUAUUUCUCCUGUUGACGUACACAUAUGGUGUGAUAGCUUCCAGGUUUAUUCACCAUGGUUUUCUGCUCUUCUCAACAAUUAUACAUAUGUUCCAGCUUGAUGAUAGCAUCCUCCCAUCAAGCUGAGGAGGGGUGUUAGGAUUGUGAUCAAAUAUAUCUGUUGAAUAUUGUUGCUUUUCUGCUAUUAGCUUAAUAAGGUCCGUUAGCGAUCAGUUUCUUUGUGGUCAUCAGUUCUCUUACACGCGUACCUCAUCUGUUCUUUUCAGCUAGUAUAAGUAUGUACUCAGCUUUCAUUUUGUAAUCAACCUGAUACGCAAUACAAUUUCUCUCUAAUUUCCUCUGUAUUUUCUGGGCUUCUCUAUUAGAGCUUUCAGGCCGGAAAACCGACUGGAACAAUUUCGGACCCAAAACAGGGCCUAAUAGUCGGAACUGGGAAUUGAGGUUGAGAAUGAAAAUUGCAGUAGAAGGAUGUAUGCACGGUGACCUGGAGAACCCUCCAACACAUAGAAAAAGUUCAUAACACCAAAAUCGACCUCCUCCUCUGCUGUGGCGACCGACUUUCAGGCUGUGAGGAAUGAGAAGGAGUUGGAGAGCUUGAGUGUGCCCCCCAAGUACCGGUCCAUGAACUCCUUCUGGAAGUACUAUUCCGGCGAGGAGAUCGCUCCCUACCCCACCAUAUUCAUCGGUGGCAAUCACGAAGCUUCUAAUUAUUUGUGGGAACUGUACUAGUACUACGGUGGGUGGGCGGCACCUAAUAUAUACUUCUUGGGGUUUUCUGGGGUAGUUAAGUUCGGAAACCUU
rnacentral:lncRNA from 1 species